rnacentral:tRNA from 1 species
GGUGGAAUGGCCGAGAGGCGAGGCAGCGGCCUGCAAAGCCGUUUACACGGGUUCAAAUCCCGUUUCCACCU